rnacentral:antisense_RNA from 1 species
GUUGAUCGAUCCAAGGUCGUGCACAUAGGGUCUAAGACGGAAGAGAACUUCCUGCCCCUCUUGGAGCUUCUAUUUUAGAGGGAGACACGGCCAGACAGGUCUCGAACUCCUGGCCUCAAGUGAUCCGCACACCUUGGCCUCCCAAAAUGCUGGGAUUCCAGGCGUGAGCCACCGCGCCUGGCCUGUCCUAGGGAGAAUGAGCCUGAUGACUUUACCAUUUUCCACCUCUAAGAGCCAAUCGCAAAGGAGGCUGGCUGGCAUCUUGUGUCUGUCUAGCAUCUCUACCAGUUUCUGUAGAAAACCCUCAAGCUGUGCCAAGACGAUCAUGUCUGGACACAGCUCUUGAUGUCACGGGGUGUCUCCUCCUACUGCCUAUCGCCCUUUGCAGCCACCAGAAUAAUCAUGCAGGAGCCAGGGCCCCAUAUUAUCUACCGCUGUCCAUCUGCUCUCCAGCACAUCAGAGCAGCCCUUCCCCUGUGUGAGAUUCCUCUCCAGGGCAAGACUGAAGGGAGCAUCAAGGUUGCAGUGGAAGAAAUAAAUUGGAAGUGGAGCUGG